rnacentral:rRNA from 1 species
AGAGUUUGAUCCUGGCUCAGAUUGAACGCUGGCGGCAUGCCUUACACAUGCAAGUCGAACGGUAACAGCUCUUCGGAGGCUGACGAGUGGCGAACGGGUGAGUAAUACAUCGGAACGUGCCCGAUCGUGGGGGAUAACGGAGCGAAAGCUUUGCUAAUACCGCAUACGAUCUACGGAUGAAAGCAGGGGACCCUCGGGCCUUGCGCGAACGGAGCGGCCGAUGGCAGAUUAGGUAGUUGGUGGGAUAAAAGCUUACCAAGCCGACGAUCUGUAGCUGGUCUGAGAGGACGACCAGCCACACUGGGACUGAGACACGGCCCAGACUCCUACGGGAGGCAGCAGUGGGGAAUUUUGGACAAUGGGCGAAAGCCUGAUCCAGCAAUGCCGCGUGCAGGAUGAAGGCCUUCGGGUUGUAAACUGCUUUUGUACGGAACGAAAAGUCCCGGGAUAAUACCCUGGGACCAUGACGGUACCGUAAGAAUAAGCACCGGCUAACUACGUG